rnacentral:rRNA from 1 species
CCUACGGGGGGCAGCAGUGGGGGAUAUUGCACAAUGGGGGAAACCCUGAUGCAGCGACGCCGCGUGUAGGAAGACGGUCCUCUGGAUUGUAAACUACUGUCCCCAGGGACGAAGAUGCCGUUACCUGGGGAGGACGCUCCGGCUCACUACGUGCCAGCAGCCGCGGUAAUACGUAGGGAGCGAGCGUUGUCCGGAAUUACUGGGCGUAAAGCGCUCGUAGGCGGUAUGUCAAGUCAAGGGUGAAAUCCCCGCGCUCAACGGGGGAACUGCCUUUGAAACUGGCAAACUGGAGUGUGUGAGAGGAUAGUGGAAUUCCAGGUGGAGGAGGGAAAUCCGUAGAUAUCUGGAGGAAAAUCAGUGGCGAAGGCGACUAGCUGGCACAUAACUGACGCUGAGGAGCGAAAGCGUGGGUAGCAAACAGGAUUAGAUACCCUUGUAGUC